UACGUAGGGUGCGAGCGUUGUCCGGAAUUAUUGGGCGUAAAGAGCUUGUAGGCGGUUUGUCGCGUCGUCCGUGAAAACUUGGGGCUCAACCCCAAGCUUGCGGUCGAUACGGGCAGGCUGGAGUUCGGUAGGGGAGACUGGAAUUCCUGGUGUAGCGGUGAAAUGCGCAGAUAUCAGGAGGAACACCGGUGGCGAAGGCGGCAUCCUGGACCGGCAUUGACGCUGAGGCGCGAAAGCCAGGGGAGCAAACGGG
rnacentral:rRNA from 1 species